UACGGGGGGGGCAAGCGUUGUCCGGAAUUAUUGGGCGUAAAGAGCUCGUAGGCGGUUUGUCGCGUCUGCUGUGAAAACCUAAGGCUCAACCUUGGGCUUGCAGUGGGUACGGGCAGACUAGAGUGCGGUAGGGGUGACUGGAAUUCCUGGUGUAGCGGUGAAAUGCGCAGACUAUCAGGGAGGGAACACCGGUGGGCGAAGGCGGGUCUCUGGG
rnacentral:rRNA from 1 species